AGGGGCCUAUCACCCAAGACAUUGGAUAUAAUGUCUCACUUUUUGAGACGCCUUUUUUCUUCUUCAACUAACAUUAGCACAACAAAGAAAAAAAACUAUGUGGGAGCAAAGUGAGACAUACAUGUUAUGUUUUCGUGUUUCAUGUUUCCACAUUUUGUAACCUCUUCUCGUACUAAUCAUGGGGCUAAUUAGUACCCUUAAACCGUGUGAUUUUGAAUUGAGGAAUUGAUUAAUUGAAAACAUGAAUGACUCCACCCAG
rnacentral:lncRNA from 1 species